rnacentral:rRNA from 1 species
GACGAACGCUGGCGGCGUGCUUAACACAUGCCAGUCGAACGGUAAGGCUCCAGCUUGCUGGGGUACACGAGUGGCGAACGGGUGAGUAACACGUGGGUGACCUGCCCUGCACUUCGGGAUAAGCCUGGGAAACUGGGUCUAAUACCGGAUAGGACCGCACCGUGAGGGUGUGGUGGAAAGUUUUUUCGGUGUGGGAUGGGCCCGCGGCCUAUCAGCUUGUUGGUGUGGUAAUGGCCUACCAAGGCGGCGACGGGUAGCCGGCCUGAGAGGGUGGACGGCCACAUUGGGACUGAGACACGGCCCAGACUCCUACGGGAGGCAGCAGUGGGGAAUAUUGCACAAUGGGCGGAAGCCUGAUGCAGCGACGCCGCGUGGGGGAUGACGGCCUUCGGGUUGUAAACUCCUUUCACCAUCGACGAAGGGUUUCUGACGGUAGAUGGAGAAGAAGCACCGGCUAACUACGUG